UACGGGGGGUGCGAGCGUUGUCCGGAAUCACUGGGCGUAAAGGGCGCGUAGGUGGCCUGAUAAGGGUGUGGUGAAAGUCCGGGGCUCAACCCCGGAUCGGCCGUGCCGACUGUUGGGCUAGAGUACUGUAGGGGCAGGCGGAAUUCCAGGUGUAGUGGUGAAAUACGUAGAUAUCUGGAGGAACACCGGUGGCGAAGGCGGCUACCUGGCCCAACAUUGACGCUGAGACCCGAAAGCAUGGGGAUCAAACAGG
rnacentral:rRNA from 1 species